GACCGUGAGGUCAAAGUGCGUAAACACAGUCGUAUUCCCAUCGUUAGGGUUCGUUGGAACUCAAGACGUGGACCGGAGUUCACGUGGGAGCGCGAGGAUCAGAUGAAACUAAAGUACCCUCACCUUUUUCACAAAGACAAAGCCGAGUCAAGCAAAACUGGCGAAUCUCGGGGCGAGAUUCCUCUUCAAGUUGAGGAUGAUGUCACAACCGAGCAGAACCCGCAACAAUCCUGAUUUCUCACUUCGUUUCUCUCACACUUGACGCUUGCCAAUUUCGGGACGAAAUUUCCUUUAAGUUGAGGAUGAUGUGACAACCCCGAAUUUCCAAGGAUUGGGUUGUCCAACUGUACACAAGUAACUAACAAAUUAUACCGAGCAAACCAAGGUAAUUAUUGAAGGAACUUGGGAACUUGCCGUCUGAUGCUGC